CAUAUGUAUAUUUUUUGUGUGUUUUAAAUUAGGAUGAAAAUGAGGCUCUCGCUUUUGGAUUGGUUUAUAUGCCUCAGGCUGGGUCGACACCACACUCAUCCCUGUGGCCUGCCUGACCUUUGCAGCACAUUUCCUCCACAGCCUGAGCAUGGAGAUGUAGACGAGGUUCUCACAAAUCUGGGAAGCAGCUGCUGCCUCAUUGAGUCCAAGGAGCUGAAAUUCUCAAUGGAGCUUGCAGAUCACGGACUGAAAAACAGAGAAGAGCAAGUUAUUACCCUGUAUGAAAACAUCAACCUCGUGGAGUUGAGACUCAUUCAGCCAUAUGAACAUGUUAUAACGAACCUUAUCUGUGAGAUCAAACUUCAGAGCCCGGAAAUGGAAAACCUGGCCAUUGCCGUGAAGAGAGCCAAGGACAAGGCAGCCAUGCAGCUGAGUGAGCUGGAAGAGGAAACGGAUCAGAGGAUUCAGUCAGCAGAACACAAGACACGGAAAGAAGUUCUCACAAAUCUGGGAAGCAGCUGCUGCCUCAUUGAGUCCAAGGAGCUGAAAUUCUCAAUGGAGCUUGCAGAUCACGGACUGAAAAACAGAGAAGAGCAAGUUAUUACCCUGUAUGAAAACAUCAACCUCGUGGAGUUGAGACUCAUUCAGCCAUAUGAACAUGUUAUAACGAACCUUAUCUGUGAGAUCAAACUUCAGAGCCCGGAAAUGGAAAACCUGGCCAUUGCCGUGAAGAGAGCCCAGGACAAGGCAGCCAUGCAGCUGAGUGAGCUGGAAGAGGAAACGGAUCAGAGGAUUCAGGCAGCAGAACACAAGACACGGAAAGAAGAAAAACGGAAAGCUGAAGGAGCUCUUAGUGACCCCAGAUGUCAGUGUGAAAUUCAGAGAAGUAGGAGAUCUGCAGGUGACCAUAAAAAAACUCAAAAAGGUUUAUCCGUACCCCUGGCUCACUGCAAGGUGCAUGGUAGGAUUUCAGUGACUACUGAAUGGAAUGAAUAUUCCUCUUCCAUAUAGAAAGUUCCAGCAAGAACUGGUCAGCAAGAGUUUCUCCUUCUGAAUCAAAAUGCAACUUAGAAUCAGUGAUCCUGGAUAGUCAUGUGGCAAUUGUGACAUACUUGUGUGAAGAGCUUCAGUGAACACUAUCUGGCAAGAUGAAGAAGGCUCCAGCAUCAGAGUACUUAGACUUGAUGAGAUAUGAGAUUUGUUUUGAUGAACACACACAUUUUAAAUAAAUUGACACCCACAAAUCCCCACAAUUCCCUGGGGAUGGAAGAUACUCCUAAGAAAAGUACUUUUUGUUCUCCAUGUUUUAGAUGCUCCUGGACUGCUUUAAUCUGCUAGAAAAACAAUCAAAACACGUAAGUCAAAAAGAAGAUGUGGCUGCGUUAAAUAAAAGAAUUUAUGACUUAUCAAUGGAAAAUCAGAAAGUGAAGAAAGCCCUUUUAGAAGCACGGACAAAUAUAGCCUUUCUUCAGAGUGAAUUAGAUGCAUUGAAAUGUGAUGCUGAUCAGAGCCUGAAUUCUGAAAGGUAUCUUGAUGUGAGUGACUGCUGACAGGUAACUGAUGUAGGAAUCCAUGCUCUGGCAAGAAGCUGCCACCAGCUCAACUGUCUGGACCUGAGCUCUACACUAAUUGCAAAUAUUCCAUUAUAUAAAUAUGAUAUAUUUAAAUAUUAUCCUCUCAAACUACAAGUUCCUUCUAAUUUU